rnacentral:tRNA from 1 species
GGCUGUGGCUCAGAGGUAGAGCACUUGCCUAGCAUGUGUGAGGCCCUGGGUUUGAUCCUCAGCACCA